GUCUAGGAUGUCCAGAACCCGGUCUGCUGGAGGAUGCUGCCUCGCAGUGGGGUCCAGACAUGUGAUGCUCGCUGGAGGAUGCAGGAGAGAACCACGCUGGCGAGACAGAUGGAUGCACAAGAGGCUGAAAUGUCUCUUUCCUCUACCUCCUGGUUUGAGUAUGACCCCUGGUUUGAGUAUGACCCCUCACCUGGCUUGUGACCCUUCACCUGGAUAUCACUCCUGGCAGUUGGCUCUGGGAUAGACGACUCAUGUUGAACCACAGGUUCUGCACCAGAGCUGUGAUGAUGCUCCCUGAGGCCUCGUCUCUUACCCCAUGUUCUGACUCCCUGGGAUGUGUGGAGCUGUGAGGUACUGUUUUACUCAUUGAGGUCUUUCCCUUCUGGCCUUCUCAUGUACUGGUGCAAGGGGUCCGAUGCCCAUGGCAAGACUUUAGCCCCAACUGUGAUCAUAUGAUGUUGCCACUUUGUCAUGCUCUCUCUAGUCCACUGUUACCACCCAUGGCCCUGGAAGAGAAGAGGUGAUGGAACAGUUUGUCUGUUGACCUUUCCCCUCUCUGUCAGCUAGUCCUUGUCUCUGUUCCAUCCCCUUUUGCUACACCUCUCUCUCUGUGGCCUUCAUGUAUUUGCUUAUGGUGAUGCCUCAAUGUAUACAUGGUGUGUUACCUAUGUUUUCCUGGACAUUUAAAGUUCAAGUGGAACAUUUGUUGGCUAUGCAAUAGCAUUCUG